UGUGCCGCACGGCACGCUUCUCCUUUCCCAAAGAGAUGCUUGUCUAAAUGUGGUUUUUCCCCAUCCCUGACAUGCAAAAUGAAAACCACUGUUCCCCUGAAAAUCUUUCACAUAAUAACAAGUGACAGCUAUAUUGUGCUUGGCAAAGCCCCGGGCAGUUAUCCGUUCACAGAGCUGCCUCUUCAGACCUUUACUCUAUGAAUUUGAGUGCUGAUAUUUCUUUAGGCCUCCUGGGGUUCCAGUUAGCGAUAUGUCUGCAGGGCAGAUGCCCUGGAAUGCACGACGUGUGCUCAAGUAUCACAGAAAUGCAAGUUUGACUUUCCUCGGUGGCAAACGUGAGCAGUUCGGGGAGCCGGUGGCCCUCUGUGCAUGUGGUGGGACACAGGAGGUGCAGCCUUAGAUCUGGACAACUCCAAAGUGGGUCAGAAAAUGUUUAGGUAAAAUGUAAAUGCUCUAAAUGAUCUGCUGCGUAAUGGCUUUUGUCAUUCGCUUGUUGAGGAGAUAAAGCAAAACGUGUUAUACUGAGAAAGUAUUUGGCUUUUUGGCAUGGAGAGUUGUGAAGGUCUCAGCACGGUGGCCGGAAUGAAGGUUGUUUGGAAAGUGCUCCUCUUUGAUCUCAGCUCUUGAGGCUGGUGGCUUCUCGUUUAUUGCUAUUUUUUUGGCUCAGUUUCUUUCCAUUAGCUGCUACAGCAGUUUGCUGCCCACCAGCUUCAGAUGUACGACAGCUUGAAUGGUGCUACCUUUUGGUUAACUUUUGCGAAUUUUUAGAUGCGUGUACGUGUUAAGCUUUCAGUUUGGCUUUAACUGAGACUAAUGAGUUCUGGCUUUAACUGGGAGUAAUGUGUUAGCGAAAUGAGCAGGUGUUAUGGGAAGUGAACAAGAUGUGACACACAUUUGCUUGGACAACAAUUUUGCAUCAAUAAUUGUUCUGACACUCUAAAUGUAGAUAUCAUCUGUGACAUGGCUUCUCCUUCACUAACCUUGUUAAAAUAAUAAGAAUUAAAACAAGGAGGAGGAACACUUUGUUGGGACAGAUGUUUGAGGCUAUUGGCAAACGCAUCACAUUUUUGCAUGUUCACUUUCAUGCAGUUUGCAAUUAUGUUAAUGUAUGCUCAGGGCACUCGCUGAUAAAAGCGACAAUGCAGUGUGCUACAGCCAUUGUCACUAUUCCGACUGUGACUUCAAGGACAAACAUGGCACAUUUCUCAUUUUUCCUAUCUUCAGCAGUCUGUAUUUCUAGAGGAAAAAGAAAGAAGUUCUCUGAAGGUCUUAAUGACAACAAACACUCAGAUCCUGGAUAAGGGCACCCACGUCCACAGACGUAUUUUUAAUAAGAGGAAAAGGGGGUUGGAGACCAGAAUUACUUACUAUGAGACUUUUCUAUAAAAUGAAUUUGUGAUACUUUGCUCAUAAUUUCAGAAACAGCGUUCACUGGAACAAUGAAAGGGUUGAGUACGUUGAGUUUGUGCAUAGAUGUGAUCACAGUAAGUAGCUGUCACUUCGGAUCUCUCAGUUCAACACAGCAGUCUACUAAACCAACACGGCAAUUAGUUGCAAGGACCAAAAUAGCUAAAUAUUAAACCAGCUUUCAGUAACUGUGUCGGUAGACAUACUGCACUAAAAGAGGGGGGAAAAGCUUUCCAUAACAUGCAUUUUUUUUUUUCUGAAAUACAAGUUUUACCCUUUGCUAUUUAGUCAGAAAUCUAUAAUAAUUGCCUCAUAGGAAAAAGAUAUAUAUAUUUGUGCCAUGAUUAUAUAUACAUAUAGUUUUGCUUUCAGUAAAGGCAUUUUCAAACGAAGCCUAAUGCUGGAUCAGGCCAAACUUACCUAACAGCCUAAAGCUGAGAUUUUUCAAAGUGGCUGAAAGAGUUAGGCAUUUAAUUCCUAGUAGGAUUGGAAAAUGCCAACUUGUGGAUUAAAGCGUCUAGUUUUGGCCCUACAAAUACAAAAAUAAAAUAAAUCACAGUCCUGAGUCUUUUAUCUGUCUCCGGAGACUGCAACUUUUAAAUAUGCCUAGCUGUAAGAUCUGACAUCAACAGUCUGCUUUGCAAAGUCGUGGUGCCGUUCAUGAUGGCUGAGAUCAGCUAUAAUCACCAUCAUUCCUUGAUUUACUGAUUCAAAUUAGGCAGUGGGCUAUUUAUUUGCAGCUGUUAAUGUGUGGGGAAUAGCUCCUGCUCUCCACCUCGCUUGUGGGGCAGCUCACUCCGCCUCAUUUAGAGCAUGAAAAUCCAAAGCCUUAUUGCUUAACUGUAAGAAUAGACAAAGGACUUCCAAACCAAAGGUGACCUCUGUGAUUUGCGCUGGUGUCGUGACAAAAAUCAGCUCUUUCUUUUGUGUUUGUGUGAAAUUCCUGAACCUGUUUUUGCAUGUUUAGUCAAGAAUCCCUUGGUGAGCCCUCGCAGGUAUUUAUUUCAACAACUCUUCCCUGUGUGCCUCUAACAACAUUUCCAAAAAUUGAUCAGCCAGUUAAUGGGAUUAAUCGCAAGGGAAAAUAAUGCCAUUAAUGUCAAUAAAGAGCUGUUGAGACACAAGUGCCAAAACAUUCAAAAGAGAGUCAUUAAUCUGUAAUCUAGAUUGAGGGCACUCUGGAAAAAAUGAGGGAAAAACUAGAUAAAUAAAUAAAAAGGAAGAAACGUAGAGAGUGAGAGCUGCGGCUUCAGCUACACAUCUUUCAUGCAACAUACGGAGUUGAUCCGUUCCAGUGCCCUCAAGAAAACGGGUACAGAAAGCUCCGCAAUGCACCCCAAACUGGAGGAAGUCUUUGCUUUGCCGUGGGGCUCCAGAAACGGGCCGACACAAAUGAUGUGUCAGCUCGGAGCAAGCCCGGCUCCCUCACGCUCAGGUGUGCUCCUUUGAACUGACGCCCAUGUAAAUCGUGGAGGGGAGUUCUCUGCGCUGCCACACUGCUGGGAGCUGGAGGAAUGUCCGAUGACGUUUGUCAGUGCUCUUGCCGCGCUUCUUUCUUCUCGCCCCUUGACUUAGGCUGUAGCACGCUGUACAGUUUGGGGUGCAGGAGCCAGAGCUGAUGUGUGCGGAGGGGUGGGCAAAAGUUGUUAAUAAUUCAUUAGUAGCUGGCAGGGAGUGGGACAUAAUGAGGUUUAACUUUUGGCAAUUUAGAUUUUCUUUAAACUUAGUUUUACCUCUGAAUUUGAUCCAAAACAUUUCCUUAACACCUCCUAUACUUGACUCUGAGUUGCUGUUUUAAUUUGGCUUUGCUGUACAAAGGACCUGAGGGUCUACCCUUACUUUCUACAUGGUCGUGUUCUAGAAACACUUUGAACGUGCACAUACGAUCACACCACGUUUUGUGGUAACCGCUCAAUACUUGCAAAUAAGAUAUCCCUGUUUCCAUAGCUUUUCCAUGGAGACAAAGCUUUGUGCAUCUCCUGUGUUUGCAAUAAUAAUGCAGCUUUCCAAUUUCUCUCCUCGGUAAGGUUACAUUCAGUUGUCCUGAGGCUAAUUAAGAAAUUUGAGUGCAUCCAGUUCCUCAUCUUCACUGCAUCUGAAGAGCUGUAAGAAUUUCCAGUUGCUGCGAUAAGGAGAAUACUGUUGCUUGUAAUUAGCUGUUCGUGCAGAUCAGAACCUCCCUAAUUCUUACUUAAGCCUCUCUGUUUGCUGGAAUAGCGAGCACAGAGAUGCUGUGUACCCACUGACCGGUGCUGCCGUCCCCGCCAAGCCUCGCUCAAGCCUUGUCCCAAGAGAAGAAGCCCACCCUGACCUAUCCUCAUCUGUCUCCCCAAACACCAUCUAUACCCAUCUCAAAUAUCACACUUUUGAGAUCUAUUGAAAUGACACUUUUUUAUCCAAUAAUGAAACCAGGUGGGUUUUUUUUCCAUUUAGUUGCAAAAUAUUUAAUUUUAGUAAGACUGUUUCAUCCCCACCUUUGCAUUUAAAACAAAAUGACCUUUUUUUUGGAUACAUGUGGAAUAAGUGAUAUUUGCAAAGUCAAAAUAAGACUGCAGAGAGGAUAUUCUAAAGGCUAAUCCAUUACUUUUGAGGAAAAAUAUCAAGCUUUUCCAGAAUACCUUAUUAUUAUUCUGGGUCACCAUGAUGUUUCCAUGCACCUUGGCAUGUCCCUUUAAUUGGAUCCUUACAUAGGAAGGUCCAGCAUAGUUGCAUUGAAAGCUGACAUUUCUAACUAACUGACCUUUUCAGGCCCAGUGCUACUCCUAUAAUGAUUAUCCUCUAGCAUUGUUUGGACACAAUACCACAUACUUCACAGCACAUAAAGAAUAUGUUCUUUGAGAACUAUUCAAAAUGCCCAAUCUCAAGUUAGCAAAAUGAGAAAAUUGGGUGCAAACAUUCAUCAGAGUGUUAUUGUGCAGGUAUCGAUUUGAAUGCCCUUUCAUUUCUCUGGGAAAAAGUGUUGUAUUAUGGAGCUCUAAAUUAACUUCUGUUCUGUUUUUUUUUCUCUUUUUUCCCUAGUAAGUAUAAAAAGGUCAAAUUCAUUCAUAAGGCUGAAUAGAUUUGCAGGAUAUAAGCAAUAAGAUAGCAAUCAACCUUCAAAUAACCUUUAAAGAGACAGUAUCUUUUCUUAUAAACAGUAAUUGAUCUGCUCAUUAAGUCUCUGCAUACUCUUUGGGCUCACCUAGGCAAAAAUGUGUAGGAACCUGUGACAAAAGGAUGUCGGCUAGAACAAAACAGGAAUAAAUCCUCAGGUGGAAAUAUAAAUAUUUGACAGGUUUCGCGGGGUGUAAAGUUGAUGAAAGGGCUGACAUUGUGAUGUGAAUUCCUUGACCUGACUGUUACAAGGCUGGAGUGAAAAAGACAUAGAAAAGACCUCGAAGUAUGAAUUUGGUAUUAGUGAGGAUAACGAUGACAGCGUGUUCAGACAUGCCCAAAACCUGAAUACAUCUUCACCUUCCCUUCUGAGUUUCGCGGCUGAUGUGGGAGGGUGAAGAUCGCAGUUUGCCUUUGGUCAGCGUUCGUAUAGGGGGGCGCACAUAUAGGGGCACGUCUGCCGGGGAGCUGCUGCACAUCACAACCGACUUAACCACCUGUACCCGAGUUGCUCUUUCAAGAACAGCCAGAAUGUCAAGUAAUGGCUUUCUUUGCGCCAUGAGCGCUUUUUUGGACGUACGAGGGGCGGCUGACGAUCUCUGCCUGUGCAGAAAGGAAACCUGCACGUCCAGCCCCUUGUCACCGCCACCCGGUGCCGGUGUCCCUGCAGCUCCUCCGGUGUCGGCCGCAGCGGCUCAAGGGCUGCUGCAUUCCUUCCGAGGGAGCGAUAUUUAGCCGGGGACUCGCUUGAAGAACAGGGAUUCUGUGAUUUAAGAUACCAAUCGGAAGAUUAGUGUUCUGACCAUGUCCAUAUUUCAUUUCUGCAUGUAAAUCCGUGUUAUGUUUUUAGUAUUAUUUUUAUGAAUUGCACAUACACUGAGGACUAUCUGUGCAUAAUUGAUUACAAGGGGUUGUCUUGGUUUUUAUCUUUGAUCAGGAUUUCCAGAAGCAGCGAGUAUCCCCGGUGACGAGGCUUUUCAUGCUGUAAAUGUUUGCACAUAAUGCGUUCUGUUUUACUUCUCGAUGUGCAGAAUGAGCAUCUGGCUUAUUUAGAGAGAGUGAAAAUGAGCGAUUCUUUGCACAGGUGCAUUGUGUUCCUUCUCUUUUGGCAUAAGCUUGAGGAAAACUUAAAAUAAUAUUGUUUUAUUUUCUCCAAGAAAAAAAAACCCACUCUUUCUUGCAUAUCAGAUGUUUUCACAGAGAAUAGAAAGCUUUGUCCUUUUUAAUGGAAUUUUGAUUUCCAAAGGUAUCUGUAUGGAAGCAGUCUCUUCACUUAGGUGUAUUCUGUUUGUUUAACUGUCUGCUGAGUGACCUGAACAGGACUUGGUAAAAACCGGUGUACUAAAUAUACAGAAGCCAGCAGAGGAUGAUAUUGAUGGUACAAAAUGGAGCACAGCGCAGAAACGCAUGAGACCUGAAUAGCAGCCUGUGCAGCUCGCAGGAGACUCGCCAGUGUGGUCCAGGUGCCACCAAGCCGUGUUACCUGGGUGCUCUGCCUGAGAGAAAUCAGCCCUGGCUCUUCUUUAAAAUUGUGAUUCUUUUUAGUAAAAAGGCUUUAGGGUGCUGUCGUUCCAGUGGUGCCCAACUGCAGCUGGACCUGGACCUUUGCUCGUGACUUUGUUUUUAAGCAGGCACAUGCUGUGCUUCAUUUCUGCCGUGGCAGCGCCCACGUGUCGCAGUGCACGAGGACGCACAGUGUGGCACCAAGCUGCCCCCGAGCAGCUGGUGACUCCACGGAUAAAGCAAGGGACAGUGGGCAGGAUGGGGUGUCAAAAGUAAGAGACGUUUUUAGUAGAACUGCAUUUCAUUUUUGAGAAACUGCCCACUACCAUCCUUUUUGCCUUGUAGAUUCCCGUGCCUCUUCGCUACCCCUUUUCUCCAGUGUCUGAUGUAGCAGAAAAUGGCAGAACGGUGAUAAUUAUACAGCUACAACGGAUGGGGCUGAGGAAGAGGGGAGCUGGAACUGCACAAGGGACUCUUCCUUAUCUCAUUUGUUUCUAAGAAUUGCCAGUGGGCUCAUUUUUUUGGUAUGCAGAACAUUUUCUAUUCAAGCAGAAAGCCAAGGUCACUGGGAAACCCACAAGAAGAGAUAACCCACAGCCUUUUUUAUAGUAUUUUGAGCUUGUAACCAGAAGGCACAAAGGAUUUUUUAGGAGAGAUUUCAGUAGAAAGGUGUGAUAGUUUUGUGAAUUCAGACUGAAAAUGCAGGAUAACCCAUGGUGAAAAAGUGACUUGUUCAUCACGCAGCUCCGUGCAGCAUUGGAGGGAGUUAUCUGAGAUGCUGCUAAAUGAGAUAGUGUGAGCACGGUUAGGCAGUAAUAUCACUGCAGUGUCGUUAAAACGCAGGUUAAAGGAAGGUGAAACACUGUUUUAACACCACGGUCUGGUUCUGGCGUUGCAGCUAGCCGUGGCAUUUGUACAAGAUGCUGCACUGGACCGCGCGGAUGCUGCGGGUGCCAGGACCGUGCUGGCAGAGCGCUGAGGCACGCAAGGCCACAUGAGAUAAAGUCUAUAUUGGAGCCUGGGGAGGGCAACGUAAACCAUUAAGUUGUAUUUGCUGGGCCAUACAACUCAAAAUGAAAACAAGUUUGUUCAAAAUAGCUAGGAGACAGCAGGGGAUUAUAUUAUUCUUGAUAUUUUUAUUACAUUACCUGCCCUUUUCCACACAUGCGUCCAUUGUCUUUAUCAUCUGGGGACUACUGGAAGGAAGAAUUCUGUGUGCAGACCCUGAUUUUCCUGCCCAUGACCCGCAGCCUUGGAGCAGCGCUAAAUCGUGUCGUGCUGCAGCCAUCCCCUGUGAUAAGCCACCCGCUCGCUGCUCCUCCCGGGGCUGUGAGGGUGCAGGGCCACAGCUGAUGCGAAAGGAUUCUGCAUCUGGUCACUUAGACCUACUGCAAAUUUGCUUUGGGAUCUGACCCAGAGCACUUAAGUUGCCUCUUCCUUGGACCAAACCCCUCACCACUGUCAAAGAUUUGACAAACCUGACACCGAGAGCGACUUCACGCAUUGCGAUCCUGAACUGAACUCCCUCGCUGCAACAGGCGGGCUUCAAUUUUGUUAUUCAAGCACUAAAAUAGCUUUCUAUAUACUAGAAAAAUUCCCUCCUUGGUCUAGUUUGAGCACCUGAGGCUGAUGCUCCCCAUCCCUCUGCCCACCUGGCCAGGUGUCACCUCUGCCAUAGCCUUGACUUUCACACCGGCUCUGUGGACACUUGUGGCAUCUCGACAGAUGCCUCCCACAGCAGGAGCCACGGUGCCGCGUGCGUUUGUACCCAGCACAAAGAGAGGUGCUAUAUAAUAGUGCUGCUGCUAAUAAAUAUCAACCGUAUAGAUGUCAGGUUGCCCAGAGAAUGUAUUCUACCCACAAACCAGGCGGCUCUGCUGCGGGGUUCGGGAAUUAACUGCAGGAGUAUCACUCUCUUAAGGCUUUGUGUUAUAGUUCUGUUUUCUUCACCUUUAACCCCACAAUGGAUUAUGACCAUACUUUCUCUUAUAACUAAAUGCUCUUCUGUCCUUUGACAAAACAGAUUUGUGUCUUUUCAUAGCUUUCUGUAGAGGGCUAAUAAUACAUGGGAAAGCUUUACUGCCCACAGGAGACUUUGCCUGGCCGUAAUAAUAAGAAAUGCUGUUGAAAAGUCAUGAUCAAUGUUAAUUCAGUUAUUUUUCAUUCUCUCUUUUUGUAAUGAAAUCUUCUACUUUGUGCAUUUUAUCCAGUGCUACCCCAUGAAUUGCUCGUUGGAGAGAGGGGUCAUUGGUUAUAAAAAUGAAUUCUUGUUGUUUGGCCUCAUACAAAAAUAACUGCAAUAUUUUGAAAUGAUGAAUUUAAGGGAGAAAAAUAGUGGAAUCUUGGAUGUACAAAAGAUGUAAAUAUUGUUUUCCAGGUUUUAUGGUUCCCUGAUGCCUUCUCUAAUUGCAUAGCUAACCCUGAGUUUAUUAAGUUAUUUUCCAGAGUCCAACUCAUUUGUAAACAUGUCAGAAUAAAAUCUAAAUUUAUAAAAACCAAAACCUUUGGAUUAGAAUUGUGGAGUGAUCAACAAACUAAUUUAGAAUGUAUUUGCAUGUAAUUUACAUGUGCCAAAAUAGGACUGCAUGUGGUUUGUAAAUACAGGUCUUGAAUCUAUUUCACAUUACAGAAUAGCACAGAAGAAAUUAAUUGUAGCUUGAAAAAAAAAGGUUAAAAUAAUAAAAAAGAUGGCUUAAAAUGGCCCAUGUUUGAACGUGAUUCAAUGUGCAGAAACUGGAGAGGAGAGAUAAGCAGGCAGAGAAAGCUGUAAAUUCUAGCAGCAACAUCUGUAGUAGUUAGAAUACUAUGUUUUAUUGCAAUCCCUUGCCUCCCCCCGUGGACAUUACGAUGGCGUGCACUACAUUUAUUAUUCACUUUCUGCAAGAGAUGUUUUCCUAGCACAGCCUUAAAAAUAAGGUCUGUUCCUUUCUUUUAACAUUCAGACUUGUUCAAAGAUAAUGCCGUCAGCUUCCAUUUGGAGCACCAUGGCUAGUUUGGCCUCUAUAUUGGCACGAGAUAACAAUUUACCAUUAUCCUUUUGUACCAAAGGGUCAAUCAGCAGGUAAAUCCUCCAUCUGGAGAAGACGUGUUGGUCACCGUUGCCUGCGAAUCCUCCAAGCUGAGCAGAGAACACAGUUUAGAGAGGGAGGAGAAGGUCGUGCGGGACGAUGAGCAGCGCUGGUGACGGGAUGUGCAGAACGAUGCUGAAGGGGGGGGGAUGCUGAAAGGCAAUGACCACGUGGAGCUGGCAGGUCUUGUCAGGAGUGUCACAGGGGCUCAGGGUGCAAGAAUAUUCAUGUGCUGGUUAUUUCUGCUGUCACACCUGCCAGAAGGAGGCUCUGACAGGAUCCUCCAUGGUUUUUUUCCAUCUAAAAUGCUAUAUGUGAAGAGGCAGGAUGGAGCGGACCAUCUAUGCCUACUGCUUCUGAAAUAAGCGGGACAGAGUGAAGCAUCAUCCAUGGAGGUCUGAGAUAGAAGAAGGGACAUCAGCCACAACAGCAGCAGGUCUUGCUUUGACUACUCAGCUUCUGCUCCUUCUGUGAGCGUUGGAAUGAAUUCUGGGCCUUGGGAUGAAAGCAGCCGUGGUUUUGAGGGAAGAGGGAAUGCUCUUUGGGUAGAAAGGGAUUGAGUAAAUCCAGACGUAAGGGCUGAGUUUGGUAAUACUGAAAUCCAUCACUGGAGGUAAUUCAUGUUUUCAGGAAUGUCCUUUUCUCUAUAUUCAUAGCCCAGCAGCCUGGAGUUUAAAAAGGGCAGCAAAGGGGGGCUGCAAUAUUGGAUUUAACAGGGUCUGUAGAGCUCGUCAGUGUCGAAUCUCACUUGUUUUCAGACUUUGCCAAGAUUAAGUAGAGAUGUAAGGGUCCCCCCUCCAAACCCUGGGAUGUUUUUCUAAACUGGCUUAGUUUCAUACAUUUUCUUUCCUUUUUAGGCAAGGGGGAGAAAAAAAUAGGAAUGGAGGGUAAAAAACAAACUUCUUGGGGUAGGAGGCAGAGCUUUGUUGUAUAUUUGCUACUCUGUGUUGUGCUUGAGUACCAUGGAAGAAUAUUCGCUACCAAGGAGGAUCCGAUUUCAGGAACCUUUCUAUAAUUUUUUCCAGGUCAUAAUACUUCUAAUUCAAUGUGCAGAUAAGCGUCUCUAAAUAUUUUCUUGUACUUCUUAUCUCUUCAACUCUAGAAGAAAUUAAUUGUAGCUUAAAAAAAAAAAAAAAAAGGUUUUAUUUCCCAUUUGGCUCUGAGCCGUUUUGUAUAUCUGCUUUAAAUGUUAAUUAUUAAUUAGGACAUAAUCUAUUUAAGUCUCUUUAGCUGUCCAUUUCUUCCAAAGAAGGCAGCUGGACGAAACAAGAAAAAUGCAUCAUUAUAUAGAUGAUAAAUUAGCCUCUUACCCAGGCGAAGACCAUGUCUCAGCACUGAAGUUGAGAUACGCCAGGGGCUGGAGCGGAGGAGCCUCCCGGCUUGUGUCCGCUUGCUGUUUGAUCCACAGCAUGAGCCGGCUAAGAUGGCUUUUGUCAUUAAAUCAGUGGUAGCAGCAGAGCUUCAUCCCCAUAAUUUCCAUCCUACCAGAGUUCUUGUUGCUGGUGAAUGGACUUAGCGGGAGGUUGGUGGUAGGUUGAGUGUUCUUAAGUUGUGUUUGAGCACGAGGAGUCAGAGAAGCAACAGCACAAGAUAUUAAAACAACCCAAAAAUCCAACGCGUAAUAAAAAGCUUUUGCAUGUAUCCCAAGUGAAGCAGAUCCCUGUGUGAAGACCAGCGAAGCGGCAGCGCUAGUGAUGUCCUGCAAAAUCUGUUGACUGAAUUUGCUGUAUUGAUGGGAGCGGGGAGAGUUGUGGAUCUUUAUACAAACGUAUGGUUUCUUGACAGCAAAUAGGUCAUGGCCAGCUUUAUCAACUGAGUCCUGAAGACGAAAUGUGAGGCUGGCAAUUGGCAUCAAUGACCCGCUGUGGAAACAGGAGUUUCUUUCAUUUAUUCUAAUCAUAUUUUUGUUCAAAUAUUUACACAUUUUAUCUCUUAUUUAUUGAAAACAUUAUUUUGACUUCAUGUUCAACAGCAAGGGACACACUUUGGAUUAAAUUUUUGUUUAUUUGUGUAUUCAGCUCUUUUUUAUUUUCCAAGUUUAAUGCAAAAAAAAAAAGAGCCCUUGUUUAUAUGAACAGUAUCUAUAUGGACUUAUGUAUAUGAACAUUUGAAAAGAUGGGCAUUAGAUUGCAGAGUCCAUCAGCCUGGCUUCAAACCUUCCCUAGCAAACAGCUGAAUGGCUUUGGCAAUCUGCAGCGUGUUCCUGAGACUUCAAAUGAUGCUGUUGUGCUGCCCGCUGCGUCUCAGCUGUUCACAGACCAACGGCUGGUGAAGCUGGGACAUUUUCACCUGUAUUUUAUAUUUAUCCAUUGUUCAUAAUGAUCACUUCAGUUCAUUGUUCAUGAUGAUCAGUUCCAGAAAGAAACACUGUGCCCAUGCUGGUAUUACCUUUAAAAAGGAGCACAGACACCCACUCCAGUUCAGACACACGAGUUAAAUUACAAAUACAUUUGUAAUACUUCACAAUAAUAUGGCCCGAUUGCUUUUAUUGUAACUCAGACUGUCCUGUGCUGGUGGGACAUGGCUAAGAAACACGGAGAACACAGACACAAUUGAACUCUUGUUAUCUCCAGGACUUGGGCAGAUGGUCCAUUUGGGAUCCAGAGCCAGAGAACUUGCGUGUUCCUGACGUCCUUAAAAUGCGGCUGGCAAGGGUGAUGUUCAUUUGUGAUGGGCUUAACUCGCAUGGGGAAAUCCAGAAUCAAGUCACUGCUCCCAGGAUUAUAUUUCAUUAUGUACAAGCUAAAAUUUCCUUAAGAUAAAUGGGUGCACUGCCCCAAAUUCCUGUGCAAUAGUAUUGACCGAGCUUUUACCCUCAGGAGUGACAUCUUAGAGUCAUUGCAAGGGUCUGCUCAGAGCACAAAACCAGCCAAAAAUGCAAACAGGUAUUUGAGAGUAGCAGAAAGAGUAGAGAGCAAAUUAGAUGUAGUGAUACACAGCUCUCAAAAUAGGUGGUAGAGCCGGAAGAAGUACCAUGAAAGACAAUGACGAUGAUCAAUAAAACGGCUUCAAUCUGAAAAGAAAUCCAGUAGAAAUGUGAUUUUUUUGCUGUAGGAUGUGCCACGAGUGUAAAUGGAGCCUGAACUGGGUUUCUAAAGUCAAUGGGAGUUUUUCCAUAGUUAGAAAAUGCUGCAGCCACAGCUGCAUUACUGUAUUUUGAACCACAUGAUGAUGGGUAAAUACACCACUAAUACAAGUUACUACUGGCCCAGGGAUCAUAAUGAGUUUAUAUUCAUUAAGGAUAAAGAGCAAACAAUUGCAACCUGUACUGUGGUUUGCCUGAGAAGGAUUCAAUUCCCAAAGCUGUAAAAUUUCGUUAGCAAAUAUUUGAACAGAAAAUGUGGCUCUUUCUUCUUUUUUUUUUCUUUAAAGAAAUUGUAUUAAUUGUGUAUCUCCAAAGCCACAUCCCUUGACAUGAAGGAAAACUUUAGCUAAAGGUCUGUUCAGGUUCAGCGAUAUAAUUAAGAGAGCUUUAAAAAAUAAAAUUCAAAUAUUUAGCCUUAAUGAGAAUAGGGGACAUAAAUAGCUAUUGGGUACAAAAAGACAUGAAGGAAAAAUCCUUGCAGGCAAAACUAAAAGUUCUAUUCUUAGUAUAUUUGCUAGGAUGUCUUUUAUUCUGAAUAGUUUAAAACUCUACAGGUUUUAGUUCGGAACGAUAAUGCAGAAAAGGCAGAUGUGCUCAGUAAGAGUUUCUUUUGGUUUCUGUCACCUUGGGAUAAAAUGCUUUCAAAUCUGGCACUAUAAUAACCGGAAAAGAUGUUGGUUUAGUCUCUAUUAGGGAUAAACGCCCUUAAAUCAGCGGCUGAGCAGACGCUUCUUGUUCGGGAGGUCCUAGAGGAGCCAGGAUCACCUUGGGCCCAAGGCCAUUGUACAUCAAUGUAUCUUUGAACAUGGGGGAUGCCGUUUUAUUGGACAAAUACUCAAAAAGGCAACUUGUGUGCCUCGGGUUGGGACAGACUGGUGUUUUGACAACAACUAAUGAAAACUAAUUAAAAGACUGAUGGAGGUUUAGGGAGCAAAAGUGAAACACCAAUGGAAGGCAGUCGACGUUUCAUGAGAAAGAGGAUUUGCCAAACAAUUCAUCUCAGCCUUUGUGUAUGUUAUAAAUUUAGUUGAUAAAGUUUGUUGUGUAAUCUUUUUAAGGGGUUUGAUUUAGUACCUUACAGGUUUUUAAAAAUAUAGGAUGUAUUAAAUAGGUUAAAGAUCAGUCAACUGACACAUCUCACAAAUCACUCAUCUUGGAGGAAUCUUGCUUGAAUAGGGCUCUUUUUAAUGGCUUUCUUUUCACGGUAGUGGGCCCAAUGCUAUUUCUAAUGAUGAUUUGUCGGUGAUGAAAAUGUCACUGUUGAGUGGUAAGGAGAGAUGUAGAGAGGAGAGGUUAGUCAUACCGUGCAACCUGGAUCUCUUGAUGGGCUGGAUCCAUUCACACAAUACAGAUAUCAAUAUAGCAAAAAAACAGAUUUCUGCUUCCUAAAGGCAGGAAUGCAGCGGAAGCCUGCUUAACGGAACAGGAUCGACAGAUAAUUUGGGACUCUGUCAAGAAGUUCAAGUGGAUGUAGCCUCAAACGUAUACAGGGACAUAGGAUGGAUCAGAACCUCAAAAAAAUAUAUCUCAAAAUAUUUCAUACCUCAGUAUGUGCUACUGUGGCAUCCACCUUAGAAAGACAAGGCAUUGAAGUACUGGAGAGCUGAGAAAAAGUUUUAAAAUGUAAGAUUUUAACCCCUUUUUAGCUCAUCAAAAGUGAGACAGGAAGGCGACACGAUAAGCAUUUGGAGGUAGGCUGACCCUACUGCCGGCACGUCUGUGUUUGAUUUAUAACCCAGUCUACUGAUCUAAAUUAUUUUUUACUAUACAUGGUUUACCUUUUGUAUAGGAGUCUUUCCUGCAUGAACAUGUUCAAGUCAUAAAUGAGAAACGUUCAAGUGUAUAAAUGAGAGAUCUGUACUCGAAGGCUUUCAUGGAAGUUACAUACCUGUGUGUGCACAAAACAAGAGGUCAAUUUAUAGGCAAGAACAUAUUUGCAAGAAAGAACUGUCAAAAGAUAUUUUGCCUGCGUCUCACAAUCAGGACCAGAAUCCCAUGGCAACAGAUAAAGGUCAUUUUUACAGCAUGAUAUGGACUUUAAAGUGCAGUAUUUACAGUAAUACUAAUUACACUGGGUGGUGCAUGAGCUGGAUUGGUGUUCUCCAAGGCUGGCUGAAGGGAUAUGAACUUGCUUGCUAUGAAGGGGUGGAAUCAUAGCUUGCCUGAGUUUAGAUUCAAGUAGGUAAAUAAUUUACAGCUUUGUUUUGCUCUGCAUCUCUACCUGAUGCUCAGACACUAUUGAAACUGGCAGAGUAUCAGAGACAGAUUUCUGGGAAGACCUGCCCUUUGGUCAAAGAAAAUAAGCGUAGCUGAAUGUUACCUGGGCGUGAUCAAAGUGAAGAGUUAUUAUACUAAUAGAGAGCAGUAUGGUUAGAAAAGCUACCAAAGAGAAGUGAUAACAGUCACAAUUUAAUGUAACAUGUGAAAUUUUACUGUAUUUUUUCCUUUUAGGUGACCAAUUACACCAUGUAAACUAGUAAAAAUAUUUCAUGCUGUGUUAAGCAAGAAAGACAUAAACAAGAGAGCAACAUGGGAAUAAAGUAUAAUUUGUCUGCUGAACUACCAUGAGGUUAAUAGCAGCAUAUGGUCAAAAGAGAAGAUGCAUACAAAAGCAGAAAUGGCUAGAUCGGGCAUAGCAUUGAGCAGCCUACCAAAAAUGACAUUUCUCUUGCACUGCCGGCCUCUUCCACUUCAAAGUGUCCAAUGCAAUGAGCUACAGCUGGAAAUCUUGGGGCUGCAUUGCAAUGUCCCAGGAAAUGAAAAGCUUCGGAAAGCACGCAGAAUAGGGAGCAAACAGAGCGGGCAUGCUCCUGAAACAAACCCAUAUAUUGCUAUUGCAGACGUGGAACUCUGACAGCACCUCACAAAAGUUAAAGAUCAAACUGGAAGUGGGGAACUCGUAUCGCUAAGCUAAUAAUGUGGAAGAAAAAUAGCUGGCGUGAAGUUGAACGUUACUUCACAGCUUUACAAGACCUUUUUAUUUGGGUGGUUGGAAGUUUGUGUUUGCCCUUAACAAGGUAAAAUAAUGUAAUUCCUUUCUAUUGUUUGGAGCUGAGUGAGUGCCUGCAGGCUUGCUUGAUGAGAAAAGUGACAUCCUGAGGAAACGUACAGCAAAUUGCAAGCAAAAUCCUUAUUAGCAGUGGCAGUUACCUCCUGGAGUAGCAUUGAUGUGGAAUCCCUGUAAGGGUAGUGCUCUCCGCGCUCAACCAACCUGACAAAUAAGAGCAUUUGUUAGGAGUUCAUAUUCAAGUUGUGGUGGUGGUAAUAGAAUUUCACUUUCAGAUUCACAACAAUUAAAGCAAGGUACUGAAUAUCACUGUACCCGAGAGAUUAGGUUUUAAAGUUACACGUACAGUCCUUUUCUAUUGCAAAUGCAAUUAAAAAAAAAGCUGCUGCUUCUGCUCAUCCUUAGAGUGGUUACGAAGAGCAAGCAGGAGUCAAAGAUUUGGGAUGUCCCCAAAGAACAGCAGCGUUCACCGUGUGAUCCAUGUCUUGUCUCAGCUCAGGAACCCAGAAGAACGUUUGGAUCCAUCCUCUGCUGUUCUCCAGAGUGGGACAGGGAGGACAUGGGGAUGCUCUGGGUUAUUUGAGCACAGCAGUGGGAAGCAGCACACACGUUAUUUUGGAAACUGUUUUGCUAACAAAACCAACCAAACAAAACCAAGUUAGCAGUAUAAUAACAGCCUUGACAGGAACCAAAACAAUCUGCAGUGUUUGUUUUGUUUCCCAUCAGCCGUUAUGUCAGCGCAACAAGAAGUGAGAAGUACCAGAAUGCUCAUUUCUCCUUGUCCCAUACAACUAAAAUAUCUGAAAACAUUUACUCUGAGCAUGCAAAGAGGCUCCAGAGUGGAGACAAUUGAGAGAAAUACUCAGAUCUAAUCUCAACUCGUGUUACUCAAGGUAUGUUUAGAUUAACUGACUGUAUGAACUGACAGAAGAGGGAUGUAGGAGCGGAACGGUUGGUGCUGAAGACAUCACGCCUAUUUCUGGGGUUUUUAUGUUGGACCAGCCGUAGGGUGCUCCCAUGACUUGACUUCAGACCUUAAAAUGCUUAGGAUGUCAUAUGGAGGAAGUAAAUGUCUCGUUAAGUUACUAGUUGUCAAGCAUAUUUCCCCCCAAUUCAUUUUUAACUCGGCAUCACCAAAAUGCUCUCAAAUAGAAUUGGUUUGGGUAUUGUUUAAUUUAGUGAGAGAAAAAUCACUGUUAACAAAGUAAAAUAACAGCUGUUAUUGUAAUGCAUCAUGUGGAAAGGCAAGCAUCUCAGUAUUUGCUAUUUUAUAUUUUGAACAAUAUUUAGUAGCUAUUAUCACUUUCAAUGGAAGGUUGGAGUUCUGCACUUGAUAAACAAAAUGGGCUUGAUCUUCACUCAUGAAACCAUUCAGAAAUGCUAUUAAUACAUCUGUUAAUUAAAUAUGUGCUCAUGUCCCAAAUUUGUUCAUGUUAGAAGUAUAUUUUACCAUUUUAAAAGGACCAGUAAUACUCAGAAAGGACCAAUGAUACCAGAAUUACAAGCUCACUAGCCUUAGAGUGCACAUAUUGCUCCCCUGCAGUUUGGCUGCCAGCCUUGGAAGUUGUGUGCAGUAUUUAAGGCUUCAGCCUGCCAUGAGAUACAUUGGGUGUAGAAGUAAGUAAUCUGCAGCGUCUGCUUACGUUGCAUCUCGUGUACAGUAACAGCCUGUUGUGGGUGGGUUCUUGAGCACGUAGAAGCAAUCUUCUCCUAAAACUGGAAAAAUAAGAUGUCUUUUUUCGGUUUUCUGAUUUGAAUUAAUAUUGGACUUAUAUAUGCCAUAGCCCAGAAGGAAAACCAUGAGCUAUUGCCACAUUUCAUGCAUCAGGGCUUGGUACGCAUGGUAUCCCAGGACACUGUGGCUUUCUGUCACCAAAUGCAUUUUUGUUCUCGGGAAACGAUGGCCAUCGAUUGGUGCUGGAGAUGAGGCAGUGGGUUAGCUGGACACCAGUCCGCUCCUCUAAUGACCAUGCUUUGGUUUUGAGGUGCUGGAGAGGAGGCAGCGGGUUAGCUGGACACCAGUUUGUUCCUCUAAUGACUAUGCUUUGGUUUUGAGGUGCUGGAGAUGAGGCAGCGGGUUGCUGCUCGCCACUCCGUUCCUUUAAUGAUCAUGCUUUGGUUUUGAGGAACUCAGUAAUCGAUUGGUCUCACUUCAAGAAGUAUUUGCUAAGUAUCAUUGAUAGUAUCUCUUAUGGAUCUUUUGGGGUUUCCUACAUGAAUUAUUUUAGAUGUUUUCCUUUUAUGAAGCUCUUUUUUCUCUUCUUCCCUUGAAAUUCAAUGACUUCUUCCCGAACAUUACAAAGGUAUUUUUUAAUUUGCCCGCAGUGGGGGAAACAGUCAAAAAUUUGAUCAGGGAGUGCACUGAAUGCAGUGAAAACAAAUUUUAUUUUUAAUGCUGUGUUAUUCAUCUCUCUAGUUUUGAUUCUUUAAAUGGUCUGUGAGGAGGGAACCUAUUUGAUAGAAGUCUGAAGCAAAGCCAAAUGAGAGACUGGUUUACUACUAUGUUUAGCAGGUUUCUUUGUAUGGCUUCUCACUUGGUAGCAGUCAUUUCCCAGGCAGUAUAAACAUCGUCCACCUUCUGGGGUUACUCUUUGUUUCUACAAGGGCUCUAGUCUUUUCCACACCAGGUAUCAGCUUUAAGAGCGUGAAGACCUUUUUCAAUGACACACCAAAGUCAUUACCUUCUGAACAAGCUGGUACAUUGAAAGUGUCUGAGAACAUUUCUUCAGUUCCAUCACAGCAUUGGUCUUUUCUUCUCAGUGGCAGACUUGACAAAUUUGACAGGGUAACCUAACACUUCCAGAACUGUGUUAGAAGAAAAAUGCUCCUGUGCAUGAGAACUAGAAAUAAUGUUACAUAAACAGUAUUUCAUAUCCAUAAGCCUUUUGGGGUCUGGGUUAUUUUUUGAAUUUUAAUUGGGAGUGUGCUGAAAGCUGACAAUCAUUGCUAGCUUUGUAAUGUCUUUUCUAGGGUCUAUUUGUAAAUUGUGCCUUCUAUUUCUUUCCUUAUUUGUGAAUGAAUUUGCAGAGAGCCAGGUAGAGCAGACAUCUCCAGCAGUGUUGUGUGUGUGUUCAUGGCCAGAACAGGAGCGACAGGUCCCUGGCAGGCCAAGCCGUGUCCUCGCGUGCCUCAACUCUUCUCCUGGAGGAGAAAAGCUGGAGCAGGAACAGGGCAAUGCUGCCUUUGUGCCCAUCCAACCCCGGGGCUGUCAGCAAGGGUGUGAACUCGUGUCAGUUGUCACAGCCAGCCAUGGGACUGGUGCCACAAAUGCGUCUGCUAAACUAGUCUGCCAGCAACUAGUCCACAGAUGGACAUGAUGUUCAUACACCACCAAUGUGGGCUGGGGCCUAAUGGCAGACCUAAAGUCUAAACUUAUCUAAUUUAUUAUCUUUCCCCGUGGCCGCUGCUCUCCUCCCGUACUCCUUUGUAUUAAAAGCAAUACUGGAAGCCUGUGGUUCCAAUGUUUCACUUUUUCCAUGUGAGUUCUCUCCCUCCCUGUGGUAGGCUGCUCUGUAAUACUUCGAUAUUGAUGAGGAUAUUUUCUCAAAGGCAUCUGAGGCUUCUGCUUUUCGGGGAUCAAAGGAAGGAAUAAUCUGGAUUUUUGCAAAUGGAUACAUGGCAACAUUGAUGUUGUGUCUUCAGUGAAUUGCAGAGUUAAUGUGCUUCAUCUGCUCCAGAGGCUAUUCUAAUACUAAUGUGCUUUUACGCCUUAAAAAAGUCCAUGACCUAAAUACAAAUAGGAAAUCCAGCAUGACUUUAGUUGUUGAGAGAUGCAGGGUUUGCUGGCCUACCCUCGUUGUUCAUGUCCUAGUUUAGCUUCACACUUGUCCAUUUUUGUUUGUUUUACUGUUUUCUGCAAUCUCUGGCAUUAUCAUUCCAAUCCACUGAUUCUUUGGCUCCGGGAUCACCAGACAGUAAGGUCUCAUUUGCACUCCUCUCCACCUGUCUGAACGGCGAUCAGAGACCCCAGCUGCCAAGCUCUGCAAUACUUUGCAAUACUCAGUCGAGGAUUGUGGUUGGCACCAAUGCAGGUUUCGUUUAGUCACGCUGGCAGCGUUCACACUACCACUGGGCUCACUAUAGGUGCAGACACAAGUGUUUCGGUCACUUAUUCUUUUUACAUAGUCUAAAAAUGUAUAAAAAAUUUGCCCAGGCAAGUUUUUCCUCCAUCCAAAUUCACUUUAUUACACAGGCAUGCCAUUUUGAAGGUGGAGGCACACGUUUGCGCUCUUCUCUUGGCAUCACAUCCUUGUGCUUGCGGAGAUGUUUGUGCUGCCCUUGGCAUUGCUCCUCUAUGUUCUUCCCUUUCACUCUUGGGGUGGCUUUGGCAGCUGCUCUGGCCAGAUGCAGCGCUCUCUCCUCUUUUCCAGCGGAGGCAUGUGAGGUCUUUGUGAAAAGCUUUCUGGCAGACACUCUGCAUUUUGCUGGCUCUGCUUUGCGUCCCCAAGACGUGCUCUUCAUCCUAUUGACGUGCUGCCUUCUGACCCACAAACAAGCCAGUUCAGUCGCGUGAGGUGGGUGUUUGGAGGGAAAGCAGCUUACGUAACACACACCAAAAGCCCCAUUAGUGCCUUUGUCUGCUCCAUUUCUGAUGUAUAAACAGUUACUUUGACAUUUAAUGGGUUUGUCAUCUUAUAUCUUGGAAGCCCAGCAAUACCAUGCAUCCCCUUGGAAUAAGCAGGAAGAUUAAUAAUGCCUGCUUGCAAGUACAGAUUUCCUGAUUUUUAAUAAGUAGCGAGCUCAAAUUUUCCCCUGAUAAAGACAUUUUAAUAGUCUCUCUCUCCUCGAAUGGUCUGCUUGUUUUCAUUAAAAGUGACGGAACUUCUUAUUUUGCAGGCUACUACCCUUUGUCUAAUCACUUGGCAUUGUUGAACGGGUUGAAGUUACUGUAAGCAUGCACACUGCAGGCAAAUUGGAAGGAAAGAAAAGAAAAAAGAGACACAGUUUUCCUUAAUCUGCCAAAACAGUCAGGACAAGUUCAAGCAGGAAUGUUAUUACUGACCUCUGCCAAGCCGACACUGUCCUGGAGCAUUUGUGCUGGUAACAAGCAAUGUGCUUCAAUCAUUCCUCUGCAAAGUUAAUUAUUGUAAGUGUUCCUUUUGUUAACAAAUAAUAAAGCUCUGCCUUUGGAGGAUUUCAACCAA